UGUGGGAACGAAGGCCCAGCCGGGUUCACACACCCCGCGGCGCCCCGGCCUUAAAGGGCCGAGCGGCGGGCCCCGCGCGGGCCUGGAGCCGGGCACCCGCUCGGGAGGACGAGCGCCGCCGCCAGCCCGCCAGCCCGCGCCCGGCCCCUGGCGGCGCGCUCCGCCUGGCCCGGGGGGCGCGGAGGCGCACCAUGCCCGCCGACACCUCGGGGAGGCCCAGGGCCUCGCCGCCGGCAGGCGCGCCGGCCAGCGCCAGCCGAACGCCGAGCAGGCCCCGGAGCGCGGCCGAGCACCGCAAGUCCUCCAAGCCCGCCAUGGAGAAGCGGCGCCGAGCGCGCAUCAACGAGAGCCUCGCCCAGCUGAAGACCCUCAUCCUGGACGCCCUCCGGAAGGACGUAAGUCUGGGCGAGGGGCGCGAGCGAGGGUCCGCGGCGCGCGGCCCGGAGCCUGGGGCGCCGCCGGGCCGCCCACACCAGCCCCGCCCGCAGAGCCCCCGGCACGCGAAGCUGGAGAAGGCGGACGUCCUGGAGAUGACCGUGAGGCACCUGCGGAGCUUGCGGCGCGGGCGCGCGGCAGCCGCGCUCGGCGCCGACCCCGCCGUCCUAGGCAAGUACCGCGCUGGCUUCCACGAGUGCCUGGCGGAGGUGCGCCGCUUCCUGGCGGGCUGCGAGGGCGUCCCGGCCGACGUGCGCUCCCGCCUGCUCGGCCACCUGGCGGCCUGCCUGGGCCAGCUGCGGCCCUUGCGCCGCCCCGCCGCCCCGCCGCCCAGCGCGGAGGCCCCGGCGCCCGAGGUCCACCCCGGCCGCCCGCCGCCGGCUGCGUUCGACGGCCCCUUGGCCCUGCUGCGCCCUGGUGCCGCCAUGGCGCUGCCGUUCUUGCCAGGCCUGACCGGGGCGCCCCCCGCUGCCCCCAGGCCGGGGCCGCAGGGCCAGGGCGCGCCCUGGAGGCCGUGGCUGCGGUGAGGCCGCGGUGCUGGACAUGUAGCGGCGGCCGCGCCCCGUGGCAGGGCCGCGGCCUUUGCGGAGACUGUGCCAGAGAGUAUUUAUUUCCAGAGGCCGCGUAAAGUUUUGCUUUACUUUGCCUUUGUCAAGAGAAUCUUUUUGGUAGCGCUCACGGCUGGCUGUCGGAGGUCGGGGGUGGGCUGCUCACCACAGGCCGGACUCCUGGCGGGCUGGCCGUGGGGGCUUCCGAGAGCCCUUCCCCUGGCUCUGCCUCCGCUGUCCCUGCCGGCUCCUCACCGUUUUCCUGCAUCUGUUCUGGAGCCAGCCGCCUGCCUGUAUUUGGGGGGCAGGGGGAUUCCCUUAAGAGGCUCCUGCAGGAAGGCGACAUUCACCAGCUUUUCCAAAAUGUAUCCCAGUGUUGGGCAGCUGCUGUGCAGCCAUCACUGAGCUCAUACUUUCUUUAAGAGACCUGUCCCACUCUGACAGACCCUGGGAGGUGGAGACCCAAGUGUCACACUGCUGUCGCCAUCCCCACCCACGCUGAUGGAGCUGUGAUGAGGGGUGACCGAACCCUGAGGCUUCAGUUCUGGCCUGGCCUGCCCCGUGCGUUGUUCUCAUGGUUCAGCUGCCUGUGCCCACCCAUGGACUGAGCCGGCCCCAGGCCAGUGUCUGCCCAGGAGAGGGGUGCCAGCAGAAGAGGGCGCCUGAGAACCUGGAGUGGGGAACUGGGGCACGGCUGGCAAGAGGCAUUGAGUGCUGGGGCUCCCGGGUGCCCGUCCAGCUAGGUCCACUCUGCCGUGUGCCCUGCACUGGCCUGGGAGGAGAGGUCUCCACCUAGCUGGAGUGGCCUGGGGGUUCAUCUUGCCUGGGCAUCUUUCCCAGGCACCUGUUGUGUGCUCGCCCUUCAGUCCUAGGCAGUGUGUAGGCUGCGCCGGACAUCACACCUGAGUCAGAGUCACUGUCCUGCAGUCCCGGGCCCCCCAAGCUGCUGGGGCUCCAUUCCAGGUGCAGUGGGGGGUGGCCUGAGUCACCUGUGGAGAGCCGAGCACCCCAUCCUAGUCAAGAUCCAUUUUCCAACCGCAGCUGAGUUCGUCAGAUGCCGUCUGCUGCCUGCCUUGCCAGGGCCCUUCAAAGAGGAAGAGGGAGUCCCUGACAGAAGCUCCUCGUCUACCUCCUUGUCUGGGCCCAGGCAGGGUUUCCCUGGGCCCUCCUGGUCUCAGCCACGCUUACCUGGCAGGGACCUCCAAGUCCCCCCCACACCAGUCACCUCUGUACCCCCACCCCCCACUUACUGCUUUCUGCUUUCUGGCUGCCUUUUCCAUCUCCUGGAGCAUCCAGGGCCUGGGGCACCAGCAGGACUGGACAAUGAGGGGGGGCCCCCUUGGGCAGCAGAGUUACAGAGGGUCUUGUUGCAGCUGGAAUUUCAGCUAGGUCGGGGGAGCUGCUCCAGGGACACCGGUGCAAAAGAGAAGGGGGUUGGGAUGUGAAGCUGGGUGGGUGAGCAGGGGCGUGGUCAGGGCCUGCUGGGAGCUGGGCCCCCACAGGAUGUGGGGAAGGGACUUGCCUGCCUGUGUGGCCAGGGGGCCUGGGGGGGGCAGCUGUCUGGGGAAAUCACCUGGUACUUAGGUCACCACACUUCCCCCUCCCACGAGAGGGCAGGACAAUCCCAGGCCACACUCCCCGCCUCCUGGCCCCUCCUUGCCCUCCUGCCCCCCGCCCUUUACUUCCUGUGAUCUCUUCUCAGCACGGUUGCUACAGGGAUCUUUCAAGCAAGGACUUACCAGGACCCUCAGCCUCUGUGGGGGACCACGUGCUGUUCCCCAGGCAGGCUCCCUCCUGUCUGGUCCCUUGUACUCAGUGUCUCCAGUGGAAUUCUCUCCCCAGUUUCACACCUGAGGCGGCCACCUCAGGCUUUUUGGGCUUCAGAGGCCAGGGCCCCGUCUGUGCCACCCCCCUGUGUCCCCAGCACCCGUUUGUAACAGCUCAGUUCACACUGACCUAAUCAAUUGAUCUGAAUGAAAGACACAGCAGUGGGGGUUGGGGAAGGGUAUCACCCUGGGUCAGAGGGCCUGAGGAAGCACAUCUAGGCUGAGGGGGAGCCCAGUGGCCCAGGGCUGCAGACUCCAGGCUGCCCCUUCUCAGUGGUGAGGGCAUCUGGGUCUCAGGAAUACCAUCCUUGCCUCCAGCUGUGGAAGGGACCACCCCAUCCCCAUGCCCAGCCUGGACGCCUGCCUAGUCCAGGAGACCCUCUCAAUGCUCUUCCAUAGGCCCCAAGGUAGGAUUUGUAGCCCAAAGUGUAGGAUGCUUCCCCCUCACACCAGGGGUCUCGUCCUCCUUCCCCCUCUCCCCACUCUUCCAUUUCUGCCCCCCCCCACCAGAUAGGCUCUGAGUUAUUCUCCUGUCCCCCUGCCCAGCCCCCAGGCUCGGCUAUUUUUAUCUUGGCUUUUGUCUUGCAGACACUUCCUGCUGAAUAAUAGAUGGAACACCUUCUCCUGCAAGGCUCUGCGAAGGGUAGGGUGUGAUCAGGACUUCCUGGGGGAAGGGGUGGCUGGAAGGCCUGCUGGCCACCCUGACCCCAGGGGUGGGGAGUCUUCUAAUACCCAGUUCGUGGUGAGGACAGUGCCAGUGAAGGUUUGCUGAAUUAAUGUACAUGGUCAGCUGAUCUGCCUGCUUCUGGGGGUGUUGCAACCCUGUGCUUAUGGGUCUGUCUGUCUGUCUGCCAGUGGGGCCAGGAUUGGGACCACAUAAUGACAGCAAAUCAGAGGUGUUUGAAAUCUGGAGAAAGAAUUGGCCCUGUGGUGACAGAAGUGAGCCUGGCCAGGCCCUUGUAACUCCAGUCACUUUGAAGUCCAGGGUGGGGUUGGGCCUGGGGCUGCUUGGCACCCUGGCUUGUCAGGGUGAGGCCUUAGCAACCCCACAAAAGCUCCUGUGGGGGCCCGAUUACCUCCAGGCUUCAGAAGGAAACGGGCUGUGGGUUGACAGCCUCCCAGCAGGCCCCCAAGAGCCUCCUCCUGGUAUUCAGUCUCAUGGUGGGGCAGGGUUGGCCUGGGUGAGCGACAGGACUCAGCAGAGCUGAUGGAAUGGCUCUGCUAGGCUCCCUGCUGCCCCCUCACUCCGGGGGAGGCCAGCGGUCCUUUGCUGCGGACCUGAUGCCCCCACCAACGGCAGUGAGGGCGAGUUCAGAAGUGGACCCUCUAGCCCCUGAGCCCUCAGACAGUCUCCCAGCUGCCGCCAACAUCUUGACAGCCGCUUGAUGAGACCUCAAUCAGAACCCCCACUGAGCAGCUCCUGUAUUCCUGCCCCUCAGAAACUGCCCCGGCCAAGGUUCUUCCUCUACGUGGAGCAGGAGGACACUGGCUCUGAAUGAAAUGCCAAGGUGGGACAGGACAUCAGCUGGUGGCGUGCAUGUGCAAUUUCCUUGUCCAAUUCAGUUCUAGGAAAAGAGAAAGCUCCAUGAAUACUUCCUUGGGAAUGUGGUCUGCUGGAUCGAGAGGUGAGGGUGACGUCCCUGGAACUGAGACAACCAGUCUGCCCACUUAGAGUUGGAGAUCUUUGGCCAGUCUUUUCCUGGGAAUACUUGGAGGAGUACAAAAAUAUCCAGCACCCAACGUGUUAAAAUUUACAAUGUCUCGCAUCCAGUAAAUAGUCACCAGGCAUACAAAGAAAUGGGAAAAUACCCAUAAUGAGGAGAAAAAUCAAUCAACUGAAAGCAACUCAGAAAUGUCACAGAUGAUAGAAUUACUCAACAAGGACAUAAAAACAAUUACUAUUGCUGCACUUCAUAUGUUCAAGAAGCGGGGGAAGGAUUGAAUGUGUUAGAAAUAUUGAUGGUAUGAAAAAACCCAAUGAACUUCUAGAGCUGAAAUUAUAAUGUCUGAUGUGAGAAAUGCAUUGGAGGGAAGUAAUGGCAGGUCAGACACUAAAAAGGAAAAUGCUAGUGAACAGCAACCAUAUAAUUAAAAACUAUUCAAAAUAAAACAGAUAUUGAAAAACUGGAGAAAAAAAUAUAAAGAAGCAUUAGUGAGCUGUAGGAGAACUUCGAGUGGCCUAAUAUGCAUGUAACUGGAAUCCCAGAAGGAGAGGAAGAAAUAAAAAACAAGAAAAAAUUGAAGAAAUAAUGGCUGGAAUUUUUCCAGUCUUGAUGCAAACUAUAAACCCACAUAUCCAAGAACCUCAGCGACAUUCAAGCAUGAAGAAAACCCCAUCAAGGAGCGUCAU